GCCCGCGUUCCCGGUCGGCGCCGUUCCCGGCCGUGCCCAGCCCAGGGCUCAGGCUGCGCCCCCCGUGUGCCCGGAGGCCUACGAGCUGCGGACCGAGCGCCCGGAAAGGAGAGGUUUCUCGUCAGAAGGCAUUGCAGCCUGCACGGGUUUUCUUUUCAAGAAUUGCAGCACAGUUUUUCCUACUGAACCUGACCAUUUUCAAUAAUGGCAAGACUCCCAAGUGCUGCACCGUAUAUCCUGUGGAUCCUUUUCUUUUCAUAUACAGCAAAUGAAGUUUUGACUGCAGGACGCAUACAAGAAUUUGCAUGCUUCACUGACUAUGACAAAGAGCUGGUUUGUCACUGGAAGGUGCCUGCACAAACCAAUUGCUCCAAAGAAUUCGUGCUCUACUACAGCGAGGAAACUUCUGUGUCAAACAAGUGUGUUCCUGAGAAUGAAAAAGACAGUUUAAGGUGCACUUGUACAAUAUAUCCAGAAUAUUUUGCAGUAAGCGUCACAUAUAUUCUAGCCCUACAAUUCAAUGGCACUGAUUCGUGGAAUUACAAUGUUACACCAUCCCUUGUUGUUAAGCCGAGAGCCCCCAAGAAUCUUGCCAUUGAAAAAACUGAAAACGGUAAUUUCAAUUUGAGCUGGGAGGAGAGCUACUCUCGUCCAUCCUUUCUCUCUGGAGAGCCAGUCAUCUAUGAAGUUAAAUACUGGAGGAAGCAGCACCCGACAGAGGCUUCUGUAAAAGCAAUUAACUACCAGGCAAAAAGUUUUGAGAUUACUGCAAGCUCCUUGAAGAGAGGCUAUGAUUAUGUUGCAAGUCUCAGGUGUAACUACGUGGAAUACCCAGCCUACUGGAGUGAAUGGAGUGAAGAAGUUGAAUUUCACAAUGAUUACCAGGUGAAGGCUGAAGACAUUCUGCAGAUGGCUGUGCCCACAUCCUGCAUACUGAUCAUGGCAGGAUCCAUAAUUUGUUACUUCUGUUUCACCAAAGUGAAGAAAGAAUGGUGGGAUCAAAUCCCAAAUCCAGCAAAGAGCCAAUCAGUUGUAGAAAAUGUCAAGUUUCCAGUUUUGUGCUACUUUGAUGAAAUUAAGUUCCCGUUCCAGGACUUAAAGCACAGUCACAUGGAACAACAAAUAAGUUGCAAGAGCUGUCUGGCUCAAAGUUUGUCAAGCCAAAACUUCAAGGGAAAAGAUAACAUCAGAAAUGUUGAGAAAUCUUGCAGUUGCCACAGCAAGUCUGAAGAGUGGUUGCCAAAAGGCAGCAGUGCAGUUUUAACCCCUGAUACAAUACCAGUUGAAGAGUGUAUAGAAAUCUGUGUAUGUUUAACAGACAGUGAAACUGAGAGCCAGGAAGAAACUGGCAACCAGAUCUCCAUGUUUGAGCCUUGUGAGAGCAGCAUUGGUGCUUUCAGAGAGCACCCUGAACACAAUGAGUUACUAGCUAACAUGUUUGAUGCACUCCUGGCAGAUGAAAAUAACAUGGAAGACAAUAAAGGCCCAAACAUCCCCACAGCUGAGAGGAAAACCAUAAAGAACAUUGGGUCUGAAAAUCCAUCACAGCAAAAUCCAAAAGAAAGUGUAGACCAGAGUCCGCAACUGUGUGAUACUUCUCAUACAGCUCCUCUUUUCACCAAAGCCUCUCAAGAUGGCUACAAUUGUAGUACAGCCAGCAAAGAGUCAGAACUAUCAGAAGAAUCCUUUGAAUCUGGAUAUCGGAGCUCCAGCAUAAAUUCUGCUACUCUGGAUGCAAGAGAUCUUCAACAAAUGGUUCAUCAAAGCCGUUUUCUAUGUCAUUCUGAAAGUGAGCUUGGCUCUUGUGUCCUGACCCAGGAGUCUACAAAUAAAUCAUUGUUUGGAACUGAAACAGACAGAAAAAACAGCCCUGCAGACAAGAGUUUUGAUACCCUUGUGUCUGCAUCCAUGGGGUUGUGUGGUUCUGCCUACAAGAGCUGUGACAACCUUUUGUCUCCAUCCCUGGAACCCUGUGGCUCUGCCUACAGGAGCUUUAAUAUGCUUGUGUCUGCGUGCAAGGAACCAAGCAGCUCUGCAUACAAGAGCUUCAGUGCCCUCAUGUCUCAGUCGAUGGCUAACAGUAGCCUGACUCUGGGCUUUGAAAGUGUGCCUUCCUUACCACCUUUGAGACAGUUGUCAGAGAUGCCCAAAUGCAGCUGCAGAGACCGAAGGGCUCAGCCUGCUAGCAAUCAGAUGUGUUACAACAACUACACAUCUCCCAGCACUGAGCUUGAUUUUCCAAACACCUGUUUAGAACAUACUGAUUUUCCGUCUUUCUCCACACAUGUAAAUGAAGGUGCUUCAGCUUUUCUUUCAGAGGAAGAAAUGCAUAAGCAAGUAAUGUAUCAAAAUGUUCGAAGGAAAGCUGAUAUAAUUUCUUGCCCCAUUGCACCUCAGCCAUCUGGCUAUCAGCCUUUUGGUAGUGCAGGCGCCAGAAACUGCCUAAGGCACGCUCCAUUGCUGCAUCAGCCCCAAGCAUGGAAGAGCUGCAGCCAGGCAGGAUAGGUGGGAUGUGCUGAUUUUUGACAGCUGUGGUAAAACAGAGCUCCAUGAGAUGCAGAUGAGGAUCUUGGCAUGAACAGCUGUGUGCCAGGAGUAGAGUUCCGGUCUUGGUGUGUCCCCAGUUGCAGAGAUCUGGGGACAAGCUGAUUAAUGUUGCCUUAAGAGGGUCAGUUUCUGCCAACCUGCGUGGAAGGAGCGUGGAGUUCUGCCAGCAGUGCCUGCUCAGCAUGUGUUGGGUGAUUUCCUAAGAGAAGAUACAAGCCUCUGUGCAAUCUCCUCCAUAUGAGCGAGACAUACGUGGCCACAGCUCUGUGAAGGUAAGCUCUUUUCCUCAGGCUAGAGCCAAAGCGAAGUCCUUUUACAACAGCAUUCAUGGAGUAUGGGUUCAGACUCCAUGGAUAUUGGGGAAAACAAGAGGCUGACCCCAGUGUUGAUGGCUACAGAUAACUAGCAAAGGCAUAAGGGAGGAAGGAGGGCAGGAUACUGGGGUCUCUGCAGGUGACAUUCAGUAUUCCCCAGACUGAAAGCAAUGCACUCCUCCCUCCCCUGCAGCAUCCUGUAUCAGCUCACAGCCACCACCUCUAGACCUUCAGUGUUUUUCAACCUGCUGCUUUGCUGACUAACACCUCCGCUUUCUCCCUGGCUCAUUCAUAUUUUAGCUUGUUUCCUGAGCUUUGAGGUGGUUUCUUCUAUUGCUUUCCCUUCCAGUAGAACACUGUUACUCAUGUCUCAGCUGUUCCUUCUGCCAUUUUUCACUAAUUGUAAUGUAUGAUUAUCUUCCUCCUAAAUGUCACCAGCCAGUAAUGGUGCCUUUGACUCUAAAGUUAUGCCAGGUCUGUAUUUUUGAUGCUUCUGGGGAUAUUGGUUUAAUUCUGUUAUGACAGGAAGAAAGUACAGAGGUAGUACUGUUUCUGUGGAGUUUUUUCUCUUUUUCGUCAAAUCAUGAACAUAACUCCAAGCAUGACUGGUUUUAUAUCCUAGAGAAAGAAUUGUCAGCUCUGAAUGUUGUUUUUUCGAUGAUUUAUCUUGCUGAUAAAUACAUAAUGAUGUUGCCCUUCUUCCAGUGAUGGCAAAAUGGUUUUGGGUCAUGAAUAACAGAAAUCUACCGAGCUUUCCCUUGUGUGCCCUUCACGCUUGCUUCUUGGUGAAUAUUAUUGCUGCAGGCUAGGCUUAAAUUACACUUUUUAUGAGUUAAAUUUGAGAAAAACAGGCCUUUUGGUGCAAUGUGUUUAAAUUUAUAAAGCUAUUAGUCUUAGAGUGCUACCAGUGUUCCUGUUUUUAAAGUUAGCUCUGUAAUAUCAAAUACCUAUUAUUGCAUGGUUUAAAAGUAGUAUGGCUUGUGUCUGCCGGACUAUCACUCUUUGGACUGAUCAGACAUGCUGCUCUUUCCCUCCCUCCUCUGCACAAAUAACAAUAUUGGCACACCUUGGAGAGUCCUGUGUAAUCGGGGCAAAAGCUACAGCACUGUCCUAGUGUGCUAUCCUCACAACAGAAAGGUAUUACUUCUGGGAAAUUUCUGACUUAGCCACAUUAACCCUGUACUGUCCCACACUGCACCCAAGAGAGGUGGCAAUCUCCACAGCCCACAGGCAGCAUCAGCUGAGACAAGUGUUUUCUAGAAGCUUGGGCCUGACAUUGUGCCUGUGAGUGAUCCUCAAAGCAUGCAGAAGGGAGAGCUGGUCUUUCACAGAGGCCGCUCCAAACACAAUGAGGAGUAGCUUCUGGAUUGAGUUCAUGCGACCAUGCAUGCCCUGACAGUGUGCAACCAGCUCAGUUACCAGCAACUACCUGGCAAGCAUGCUCAAGAGCUGCCUGCCAUGGCCUGAACAUUCCAAAACAUCUGUUUUUCAAAGGGUGAGUCAGAGGUUUGGAGGGCUUAACAUGGAGCUCCCUCAUUGUGCAUCCUGCUGCUUUGUGCCAACUUCACUGCUGCAGUCUUCUUGGGUUAUUACAGUUCCUUAUUCUUGCUCCUAGCUCCUCCUAGCUCCACGCUGUAUUGUGUGUGCCAAAUCCUUCCACAGUGCUGCUCAUUUCCCUCUUGUCCAAGGAUACAGUGAGUGUGUGUGUGUUCCUUGAAGCCCCUUUAAAGAUAUGAUUAGGUGAAUUGGUGGAUCCUCCCUCAGGAUCAACCUUGCCAUCUAAAGAGACCCAGCCCAGACACAAGUCACAGGCGUGAGAUACAGCAGGGGUGAGCCCCUCACCUGUGUAGGAGCCAGAUGACCUCCCUGCCUGUAGUCUAAGGACUGGUGCUGUUGCCCUGAUCCUGGGCCAUUUUGGGAAAGGAUGGAAGCUGAAUGCAGUGGUCUUUGAUUGUCUCCAAUGUGGCACAUGCUGUACUAUGCAGUUUGGCUUAGCCCUCUAAUACCUUGACACUGAUGCCUCCUCACUGCACAAAUCUAAGCCCCACUAUGACCUUUUAGAUAUGAGGCUUGUGAGUUUUUAUCAGCUCUCCCACCCUUUUCUCAUGUAAGAAAGCAGAACAGUACAGUAAUAAAUGUUGUGUGGGUGUUUGGACCUGAAUUCAUCACCUCCUCUCACCACAUCCUUCUGUUGGCACAGUAAUACUGAUACAGUGGUGACGUCAAUCUCCACUUAUCACUGUGUAUUCCAAUACACCCGGCCUUGGUUGUGCACAAGUCGGCUUUGCUCUUCCUCAGUGCUAAGGAGCCCCACCUGCUCCUCAGCUCCCCAGGUGGGGUCUGCAAUUGCAGUAAUGAUUUAACCAGGCUGGUCAUGGAAGUGUUGGAGGGCUGAAAUGCACAGAACUGGGCAGGUAAUAUCCAUGUUUCCACCAACUCUCCCUGCUGCUAGUUUGUUCCUGCUUGAUGUUGAAGCUUCACUGUAAAUCUUUCUUAUAGCUGAUGUGGCCCUUGUGGCCCAGCGUCAUUGCUCUUAGCCUCUGGACAGUCAGGGCACCCCUUUGUCUCCCUGUUGCUUCAGCUUUCUGAUUAGAUGGCAGUGUGCAUUGAUAAUGAUUUUUUUUCAAGAAGAAAGCUUAUUUGGGCAUAUAACUGGUGGACUGUGUCUUCCACUCUUUUUUUGCUUGGGUGCAAAAAAUUAAUUUUCUCAUGUUUGGAAAUAUUUUUUUCUUUUCUUUUUUAUUACUUAAACUGAGUUCUUAAUUAGUUUUGAUUUGGAGUUUGGGGGUUUUUUUUGUUUGUUUUUGGGGGAUUUUUUUUGUGGUGGGUGUUUUUUUUGUUUUCUUGGGGUUUUUUACCUUUUUUUUGUGUGUGUGUUUUGUUGUUGUUUUGGGGUUUUUUUUUUGUUUUGUGUUUUAAGUACAUACAUUUCCUGAAAACAGUUCAAACUGUCAGCUUAGACUGCAUCAAUGUUUGGCAGCUUAUAGCAUCAUAUUUCCAGAUUCUUAACAAAAAUAAUAUUGAUAAAUGUCUGUCUGUAUUGGUCCUAUUUCCUGUUCUCUGGUAUAUUAAAAACUUGUAGCAUCAUUUACAUGUGUAUAUUAUGAAUGGCUACUCAGCUUUAUUGCUGUGAUCUCAUAAGGAUAUUACAGAGUUUACAGAUGUGGUACUUGGCAGCUGUAAAAUGUUUGACAUUUUAUAACAAGUGUCUGUGUUGCAAGGAUGCAUGAAGCUGAUUCUGAGUCCCCAUUUCACAGUCUGAGAAAAUGAAACGAGGCGGUAGAAAGGACUUUUCUAAUGCCAGACUGGGAAUAAGUUCCUGCCUUUGCUCAUUGCCCACUGCCCUUCUUUCCUCCAGGUUAACGAUCACAUGCUGACAGAUAAAAGCAAAUGGGAAGGGUGUAAAAAAUGGAGGGAUGUAGGAAAGGUGGGGGCCCCAGUAAUAGACUGGGAUUGAAGCUUGCAGGGGGCCUGACACUGGAGCAUGCUUUAGAAUUAGGGCUGCUAUAUAUCUCCAUUGAAGUCAUGAGGUCUUUGGCAUCAAACACCACCAAGAGGCUGCUGCAGAGCUGCAGCUUUCCCAGCUCUUCUGCACAUGUCUGUCCAUGUCCCCUCAUAACAAUCUGGAGCACAGCCAGGAGGUCAGACAGUUUCAGCAGUACUGAAACUGUCUGUGGUGCUCCUAGAGGUCAGAGUCCCUUCCUACCACAUUGAGGUAGGGAAAUAGAAGAAGAUAAAUGUUGGACUAAUCUGUGGGCGUUGGCAAGGGUAAGAGAUGGAACAGUGGCAUCCCAACUGAGGAAGUAUUGUCUCUUUGUUUCAGCUAUUUUAGCAGAUCCUACUGGUUUUCUUAUUUUUGCUACUGUGCUCAUCUUCAUGAAUCUUCCUUCUAGAUUACAAGGCUGUAUGCUAACCUCCCACCGUUGUGUAAUGGCAGUCUCUGGUAACUCUGUAAGACAUUUACCCAAUCAUCUACUUGGGCUCCUUGCUUUGACUUUUUCCAGUUAAGUCCUGCCCGUCCCUUCAGGUCAAUGGUACCAUUAUCUGAGCGGAGAAAGAAAAGUAGGGGAGGUCCUUGAAAGAAACCACAGUCCAAUAGGUAAAGGCAGCAAAGACUUUCCUUGCAUUGGUCUGUUCAUUUAGGCAGGAAUAAGCAUAAAAACAGGGAGCUACUGCAAUAUCGUGAAUACGAAGCGUGAGAGGCCCUGCCAGUUGGAUUCUGAAAUAAGUGGUGGGUCUGCAGACCUCUCGGAGGGCCCAGCCUUUCCCUUUCCUUUUCCUUUCUCUUUUCUUUUUCUUUCACAAGUUGCCUUUCUUCGUUUUCUAUGGUGGCCAAGAGUGUGGAGCAUGACAGUCACAAUACUAAGUGAUGCUGAGAUGGGCUCAUGGUGCAGCCAGUCUCAGCAUGAAGUCAAAUGAGCAGGUUUCAGAUAGCAGGAUAACAGCAGGCCUUCCUCAAAAGAAUGUGGGUUUGGAGAAGAGCUAUGGAAGAUAGGUGAGAUCACAAGAUGGAGUUAGACAGUGGACUGUAUCUCAGUGCCUAGGGACUGCACCAUCAAAAGUAGUGGUAAUGAUGAAAGUUAUUAUACAGAGAAAACUUGGAGAGCUUGGACCAGAGGGGUCAAGAAAAGGUGUUUACUCAAGGCAACGUGUGAUGCAGAAAGAAGGGCUGGAGUACAAAGGUAGAGAGUGGCAGCAGGUGAGGGAGGAUGGCCGGGUGUCUGGGGCUCCUUGCUGGGCUGGAACAGUGCUUCAUGGGCUGGGUUUGUUUGGCAGGAAAGAAGGGGCAGCAGCUGCAUCAUUGCUCCCACAGCAGGGUGUGACACCUGUGUCUGUGGCAUCUCCAGAAUGAGUCUUGCUAGCCUCACCUGGGCACUGACACCCUGAGAGCACAUCUGUGAGCUCACAUGAGGCUGCAGGGGCUUUCUGGUGACUGCUAAAUUUGUUUUGCUUUCAUUAUUUGAGUAAACCUGGGAAAUUUUUAAACUCCACAAAUGUUCCCCAAGUCUUAAAGGCUUCAUGGGUUUCUCUCUGCUGGGUGAUUGCCUGGGUAUUUGUUGCUUGUGGUGGAUGCUGCAUAUGCACCCCAGGACCUAAAUACCUUGAACUGCCCAUAUGAAUACAGGCGGAGGGACAAACAGAUUGAGACCAGCUCUGCUGACAAGGACCUGGGGGCAGUGGUGGAAUAAAAGCUGUCCAUAAGCAGGCCAUAUGUGCUGGUAGCCCAGAAACUCCUAUGUCCUGGGGUUCUUCCCCAGUAGUGUGGGCAGCUGAUGGAGGGGAUUCUUCCCCUCUACUCUGCUCUCUUGGGACCCUGCCUGGUGUUCUGCCUUCAGGUCUGGGCCCCCCAAUGUGACGAGCAUGUGGAACUGCUAUAUUGAGUCCAGAAGAGGCCACAGAAGUGCUUCAAGGGCUGAAGCACCUCUGCUAUGUAUGACAGGCUGAGAGAGUUGGGCUUGUUCAGCCUGGAGAAGAGCAGGCUUUGAGGAGACCUUACUGCAACUUUCAUUAUUUAAAGGGAGCCAAUAAGAAAGAUAAGGACAGACUUUUUAGCAGAGUCUGUUGCAACAGGACAUGGAGAUGGUUUUUUAAAUUAAAAGGGUAGAUCACACUAUGUGGCGUGGCAUAUGGGCCCUUCCUGUUGUCUAUGCAUCCUUGCAACUUGUUUUCAAUGAAAUUAUGUUGCCAAAAUAAUACACAUUGCUUCUCCAAAGUCUUGCCCCAUUUAAGAAUAACUUGAGAAAACAGUGCUGAAGUCUGUGCCAGGUAUCAAAGCCAAUACUCUGCAGAGAGAAUAUUUUAAGUCUUUCUGUGCACAUCCAUGUGUUUCUAUAAAUAUUUAAAUACUGUGAAAACACAGCCUUAAAUACAUUAUAUGACUUGAGGGCUUUGUCUUGGAGCAGGGGCUGUGGGUUGAACAGUCAUUUGUAUGUGAUGCCAUUUCCUCUGUUUUAAACAUCCUGCUGUCAUCUUCUCUGAAGACUUUCUUGUAGGUUCUCUUCACUAUACCAUUAGGGCAGCCUUUCCCUGCAGUCAGUACUGUACAUUGUUCUGUCGUAUGCUACAUGGGAGUCUAGGUUUUUUGGUUUUUUUUCUUUUUUUUCUCUGGUCUGUCUUUCUGGAGUCCCUUAACUAGAUAUUUCAUGCUUAUUUAACUACAGGUAGGCUAAAUCAAUGAGUUCUCACUGGCUUUCCUCACACAGACCCACAAUGAUAUUCAGACUCCAUUUGGCCAAUUCACUGUGUAGCUGUUUAAUCUGCAGCAAUGUCACUUCUAGUGGCAAGCCAUUCCUAGCUGCAAGAUACUAAUGAAGAAAAAAUGGGUUAGCAAUUAGCACAAGAGUCUUUCUUGUUGCCUGGAUAGCCUGAGCUGCAGUCCAUUUGCUGCUUUCUCUGUGCAUGUGCUAGCAAAGAGGAAAGAUUUCACAGACCCUGCUUAUGGCAAGUUGGCAGGCUGUUGGCCAUAACCCCCUUAGCCCAUGGGAAAGAUACACACAGAAGAGCUGAAGUUAAUUGUCUUAAUAAGGCCCUCUACUUUUAUAUGUUUAAAUGAAAGCAAGAUUAAUUCCACCUCAACCUUAAUCAAAUAAAUGUCUGAGCAGAGCUCUAAA